rnacentral:rRNA from 1 species
AGAGUUUGAUCAUGGCUCAGAUUGAACGCUGGCGGCAUGCCUUACACAUGCAAGUCGAGCGGCAGCGCGGGGGCAACCCUGGCGGCGAGCGGCGCACGGGUGAGUAAUGCAUCGGAACGUGUCCUCUUGUGGGGGAUAACCAGUCGAAAGACUGGCUAAUACCGCAUGAGAUCGAGAGAUGAAAGCAGGGGACCCGCAAGGGCCUUGCGCGAGAGGAGCGGCCGAUGCCCGAUUAGCUAGUUGGCGGGGUAAUGGCCCACCAAGGCGACGAUCGGUAGCUGGUCUGAGAGGACGACCAGCCACACUGGGACUGAGACACGGCCCAGACUCCUACGGGAGGCAGCAGUGGGGAAUUUUGGACAAUGGGGGCAACCCUGAUCCAGCCAUGCCGCGUGUGUGAAGAAGGCCUUCGGGUUGUAAAGCACUUUCGGACGGAACGAAAUCGCGCGAUCUAACAAGUCGCGUGGAUGACGGUACCGUAAGAAGAAGCACCGGCUAACUACGUGCCAGCAGCCGCGGUAAUACGUAGGGUGCGAGCGUUAAUCGGAAUUACUGGGCGUAAAGUGUGCGCAGGCGGCUGAGCAAGUCGAGUGUGAAAGCCCCGGGCUUAACUUGGGAAUUGCGCUCGAAACUACUUGGCUGGAGUGUGGCAGAGGAAGGUGGAAUUCCACGUGUAGCGGUGAAAUGCGUAGAGAUGUGGAGGAACACCAAUGGCGAAGGCAGCCUUCUGGGCCAACACUGACGCUCAUGCACGAAAGCGUGGGGAGCAAACAGGAUUAGAUACCCUAGUAGUCC